rnacentral:rRNA from 1 species
ACUUCUGUAGGUGAACCUGCGGAAGG